AACAAUUUCAUGCCCUUGUACAAAAUGUGUGCUAUACUAUCAAGUAAAUCGGGCAUCAUGCUGAUACUCAUGCCAAUAUUCUGCUCAUACAAAAUACAAAUGUUGAUUUUCUGCUUAUACAUGGAGCAUUACAUGUUUGAGAUACUAUAUUUGGACAAGAUGUGUUAUACUCGUUCAAAUGGUGACUUGUUCAAGGAAUGACAGGCUGAUCCAGGG
rnacentral:misc_RNA from 1 species